UACAGAGGGUGCAAGCGUUAAUCGGAAUGACUGGGCGUAAAGCGCACGUAGGUGGUUUUUUAAGUUGGAUGUGAAAUCCCUGGGCUCAACCUAGGAAUGGCAUCCAAAACUGGAAGGCUCGAGUACAGUAGAGGGGGGUAGAAUUUCCGGUGUAGCGGUGAAAUGCGUAGAGAUCGGAAGGAAUACCAGUGGCGAAGGCGGCCCCCUGGACUGAUACUGACACUGAGGUGCGAAAGCGUGGGUAGCGAACAGG
rnacentral:rRNA from 1 species